rnacentral:tRNA from 1 species
GGCGAAGUAGAGUAAAAGGUUAGCUCGUGGGCCUCAUGACCCCAAGGUUAAAGGUUCGAAUCCUUUCUUCGCCA